CCCUACGGGAGGCAGCAGUGAGGAAUAUUGGUCAAUGGGCGAGAGCCUGAACCAGCCAAGUCGCGUGAGGGAAGACGGUCCUAUGGAUUGUAAACCUCUUUUGUCGGGGAGCAAAAAGGCCUCGUGAGGCCACAAGUGAGAGUACCCGAAGAAAAAGCACCGGCUAACUACGUGCCAGCAGCCGCGGUAAUACGUAGGGUGCGAGCGUUAAUCGGAAUUACUGGGCGUAAAGGGUGUGCAGGCGGCUGAGUAAGACAGAUGUGAAAUCCCCGGGCUUAACCUGGGAACCGCAUAUGUGACUGCUU
rnacentral:rRNA from 1 species